rnacentral:tRNA from 1 species
GUUUUGGUGACCGAGACUAAGGUGAAAGAUUUUUGAUCUUUUUACAGGAAUCACGAUUCCUCCAAAACA